GUGGGGAAUUUUGGACAAUGGGCGCAAGCCUGAUCCAGCAAUGCCGCGUGCAGGAAGAAGGCCUUCGGGUUGUAAACUGCUUUUGUACGGAACGAAACGGUCCGGGUUAAUACCCUGGGCUAAUGACGGUACCGUAAGAAUAAGCACCGGCUAACUACGUGCCAGCAGCCGCGGUAAUACGUAGGGUGCAAGCGUUAAUCGGAAUUACUGGGCGUAACGCGUGCGCAGGCGGUUUUGUAAGACAGGCGUGAAAUCCCCGGGCUCAACCGGGGAAUUGCGCUUGUGACUGCAGUGCUGGAGUGCGGCAGAGGGGGAUGGAAUUCCGCGUGUAGCAGUGAAAUGCGUAGAUAUGCGGAGGAACACCGAUGGCGAAGGCAAUCCCCUGGGCCUGCACUGACGCUCAUGCACGAAAGCGUGGGGAGCAAACAGGAUUAGAUACCCGAGUAGUCC
rnacentral:rRNA from 1 species